AAAAUUUUUUAGUUCUAUAAUUUUUGCUUACUGCUUGGCUUCAUUGAGCUGGCAUUGGUGGUAGAGCGGGUGAUUUUCUCGCGACUAUUUAAAAUGUGGAAUUUUACUUUUCUCUGUCGGUCGGCGGUGCUUUUAUUAGUAUUGAUUCCCAGUUUGGCUGAUCUGCAACCUUUAGAUUUUUUUUCAGAUAGCCUUGAUGCUCUUAAAAAAACUGCGGAAGAUCUGCAAAUUAUCAGUAAGAUUUCAGAAGGCGCUGAUGCUAUAGGAACUACCGCGACACAAUUUGUCGACAAAGUUAAGGAGAAAGCUUUACCUAAUCAAAACGAUGAUUAUUUCGGAAGUUCGUUAGCAAUUACCUUAGUAUUUAUACUUAGUAGUAUAUUCUGCUAACGUAUAAGUUAAUUUCUUUUAUUUAUUUUAUAAUCUUACUGUUAAUAUUAAAUUUAU